rnacentral:rRNA from 1 species
GAUGAACGCUGACAGAAUGCUUAACACAUCAGCAAUUGAUUGGUGGCGGACGGGUGAGUAACGCGUAAAGAACUUACCUCACAGUUAGGGACAACAUUUGGAAACGAAUGCUAAUACCUAAUACUGUGAGAGAGCUUUGCGUACCAUUAGCUAGUUGGCGAGGUAACGGCCCACCCAGGCGAUGAUGGGUAGCCGGCCUGAGAGGGUGAUCGGCCACAAGGGGACUGGGACACGGGCCUUACUCCAACGGGAGGCAGCAGUGGAGAAUAUUGGACGAUGGACCAAAGUCUGAUCCAGCAAUUCUGUGUGCACGAUGAAGUUUUCGGAAUGUAAAGUGCUUUCAGUAGGGAAGCGGUACCAACAGAAGAAGGGACGGCUAAAUACGUGCCAGCAGCCGCGGUAAUUC